rnacentral:rRNA from 1 species
GAGUUUGAUCAUGGCUCAGAUUGAACGCUGGCGGCAUGCCUAACACAUGCAAGUCGAACGGCAGCGCGGGGGCAACCCUGGCGGCGAGUGGCGGACGGGUGAGGAACACAUAGGAAUCUACCUCAACGUGGGGGAUAACGUAGGGAAACUUACGCUAAUACCGCAUACGACCGAGAGGGGAAAGCGGCGGACCGCAAGGCGUCGCGCGGUGAGAUGAGCCUAUGUCCGAUUAGCUAGUUGGCGGGGUAAGAGCCCACCAAGGCGACGAUCGGUAGCUGGUCUGAGAGGGUGAUCAGCCACACUGGGACUGAGACACGGCCCAGACUCCUACGGGAGGCAGCAGUGGGGAAUAUUGGACAAUGGGCGCAAGCCUGAUCCAGCAAUGCCGCGUGGGUGAAGAAGGCC